rnacentral:rRNA from 1 species
GCGAAAAGAACCCCGGCGAGGGGAGUGAAAAAGAACCUGAAACCGUGUACGUACAAGCAGUAGGAGCCUCUUUAUGGGGUGACUGCGUACCUUUUGUAUAAUGGGUCAGCGACUUAUAUUCUGUAGCGAGGUUAACCGUAUAGGGGAGCCGUAGGGAAACCGAGUCUUAACUGGGCGAAUGAGUUGCAGGGUAUAGACCC